AAACAUUUUAACAUUUUUAUUAAACAUUUUAACUUGGCACGCUGCUUUGUGGGCUUUUGACCCCAAAAAAUAACACAUCAACAGAGUUUACAGUGUUUGUUUGUCUGUACAACCUGGGCUCCUUUGGGAGGAGGGCCUGGAUAUAACUUUGGACAAGAAGAAUAAACAGGGCUUUUUUUUCCAGCCGAAUUUGCCUGAACUCAGUUCCGUCACCUCUCAGGUGGGCACUGUGACGGAAAAGUUUGCUUUUGCUGGGCAGGUUGGGUCAACAAGUGUUAUCUUUUUCUUUUUCCCUGCCGGCAAACGGUUAACAAAUGGCAGCCUCUGAUUGGCCGGGGUUCCAGGAGAGGGGUUUGAAAAGGAGAGGAUUUGAAGAGACAGUUCUUUAGGUUGGGAGUCAGGAUGGGAGAGGAGAGACAGUUGGUUCUGGGUAGAAACAUCCUCAUAGAAUCAUAGAAUCAUAGAGUUAGAAGAGACCACAAGGGCCAUCGAGUCCAACCCCCUGCCAAGCAGGAAACACCAUCAGAGCACUCCUGACAUAUGGUUGUCAAGCCUCUGCUUAAAGACCUCCAAAGAAGGAGACUCCACCACACUCCUUGGCAGCAAAUUCCACUG